UCGAAGCACGAAGUUUUCGCGAUUCCGCGUUGUCGAUUUUUCAGCGUGUUUAAAUUAUUUGUGGUUAAAAUAAUAAAAAGUGUCAGAUAAAUAGUUUAAAGACGCUUCGAAUUUCGACACAAAGGCGAUAGUGUCAACUUUAGUCGAGAGAAAAUUGUGAAUUUCUCGUUCUCCGUGUCGAGAUCCAAUUUCAAAGAAAAGCAAAGAAAUUUUGAUGACACAUGAACCCCGUGAACGUUGAACAUCACGGAGGAGUUCGCAUUCCAAGAAAAUCGAGAACAGUGCGUCAAAAAAAAACACUCGAGCAGCACAACAAAAAGUUUUCUCAAGUACGAGAAAAACAUCAAAAAUAUGCGGGAGAUCGCAAUCAUCCCAAUCGAGUGAAGUGCCGUGCUACGCGCGCUGCC